rnacentral:rRNA from 1 species
GAUGAACGCUGGCGGCGUGCCUAAUACAUGCAAGUCGAGCGAACGGACGAGAAGCUUGCUUCUCUGAUGUUAGCGGCGGACGGGUGAGUAACACGUGGAUAACCUACCUAUAAGACUGGUAUAACUUCGGGAAACCGGCGCUAAUACCGGAUGAUAUUUUGAACCGCAUGGUUCAAAAGUGAAAGACGGUCUUGCUGUAACUUAUAGAUGGAUCCGCGCUGCAUUAGCUAGUUGGUAAGGUAACGGCUUACCAAGGCAACGAUGCAUAGCCGACCUGAGAGGGUGAUCGGCCACACGGGAGCUGAGACACGGUCCAGACUCCUACGGGAGGCAGCAGUAGGGAAUCUUCCGCAGUGGGCGAAAGCCUGACGGAGCAACGCCGCGUGAGUGAUGAAGGUCUUCGGAUCGUAAAACUCUGUUAUUAGGGAAGAACAUAUGUGUAAGUAACUGAGCACAGCUUGACGGUACCUAAUCAGAAAGCCACGGCUAACUACGUG